UACGUAGGUGGCAAGCGUUGUUCGGAUUCAUUGGGCGUAAAGGGUGCGUAGGUGGCGCGCUAAGUCAGGUGUGAAAUUUCGGAGCUUAACUCCGAAACUGCAUUUGAUACUGGCGUGCUUGAGGACUGGAGAGGAGACUGGAAUUCAUGGUGUAGCAGUGAAAUGCGUAGAGAUCAUGAGGAAGACCAGUGGCGAAGGCGGGUCUCUGGACAGUUCCUGGCACUGAGACACGAAGGCCAGGGGAGCAAACGGG
rnacentral:rRNA from 1 species